rnacentral:lncRNA from 1 species
GUUUUCUGACAGCAAAGAACUGUUUCAAUCUUAAUAAUCAAAUAAUAUAAUCUGUUUCUACAACAUAAAAAGCUAAAUCAAAUGAUCUUCUUUAUAGUAUUUGAACAAACAAAACAGUGGCAACAACAGCAAAAAAAAAGUUGAAUAGGUCUUUAAUAAGCAGGAGGGCUUACUGAGCUCAAAAACUUAAGUUUUAGAAUGCUGACCACCUACCCUCCCCGUAGAAGCAGUUAAGCUGAGCCUUUAGCAACAUUCAAAGAAGCAAGCCAUAAGUGCCUUAGUUAGAAUGCAACGUGGAGCUGCCCUCAACACUGUUUUCAGUAUGAUCUAGAAGUAGACUUGGGCCUAGUGUGAUCAAGGUGAUUUGCUUGGUAGACAGUGAAAACAUUCUUGUACCUCAGCAGCAGGCACAGAGAGCUCACCUGCCUCUUUCCUCUGCUGGAUGUGUUGGUCGUGUGGUCAUUUUCUGGAGAAUUCAAACCCACCCUCCGCUCACUCAGUCACUAUGGGAAGUGAUCCUCUUCUGAUAUUUUUAUAGCACAAAUACACACACCGGGGCAAUCCUAUCAAAACUAGGCAUCAACAAUGCAGGGAGAACAAAUAAAUUGAGCUAUAGAAGAGCUAAGACUGCUGUUUCCUGUGCUUCAUUGAAGUAGAUGUGGGCUGACAAAUAUCACCCACAGAACAGACACCUGCUCAGGGCUAACAGCAGUGCUGAGACUUCUUCACAGUUCCUGAAGUCAAACUUACUUAACUCUGAGUCCAUCUUUAUAGAAAACACCAUUCACAAGGAAUACAAGCUGCCGAAGGGGU